AUUCUGCCCAUGCGGGGAAGGAUGAGAAGCUUCGACUAAGGUUCGGCUCGAGCGUCAGCGAGAGAGCGUUGCCGCAGGCAACGACCCGAAGGGCGAAGCGCGCAGCGCUGAGUAA
rnacentral:sRNA from 1 species